rnacentral:rRNA from 1 species
GAGUUUGAUCAUGGCUCAGAUUGAACGCUGGCGGCAUGCCUAACACAUGCAAGUCGAACGGCAGCACAGCCCGCAAGGGUGGGUGGCGAGUGGCGGACGGGUGAGGAAUGCGUCGGAAUCUGCCCAGUCGUGGGGGAUAACUAGCCGAAAGGUUAGCUAAUACCGCAUGCGACCGAGAGGUGAAAGCGGGGGACCGCAAGGCCUCGCGCGAUUGGAUGAGCCGACGCCGGAUUAGCUUGUUGGUGGGGUAAAGGCCUACCAAGGCGACGAUCCGUAGCUGGUCUGAGAGGAUGAUCAGCCACACUGGAACUGAGACACGGUCCAGACUCCUACGGGAGGCAGCAGUGGGGAAUAUUGGACAAUGGGCGCAAGCCUGAUCCAGCAAUGCCGCGUGUGUGAAGAAGGCCUUC